rnacentral:rRNA from 1 species
UAGGGAAUCUUCGGCAAUGGGGGGAACCCUGACCGAGCAACGCCGCGUGAGUGAAGAAGGUUUUCGGAUCGUAAAGCUCUGUUGUUAAGGAAGAACGAGUGUGAGAAUGGAAAGUUCAUACUGUGACGGUACUUAACCAGAAAGGGACGGCUAACUACGUGCCAGCAGCCGCGGUAAUACGUAGGUCCCGAGCGUUGUCCGGAUUUAUUGGGCGUAAAGCGAGCGCAGGCGGUUAGAUAAGUCUGAAGUUAAAGGCAGUGGCUCAACCAUUGUAGGCUUUGGAAACUGUUUGACUUGAGUGCAGAAGAGGAGAGUGGAAUUCCAUGUGUAGCGGUGAAAUGCGUAGAUAUAUGGAGGAACACCGGUGGCGAAAGCGGCUCUCUGGUCUGUAACUGACGCUGAGGCUCGAAAGCGUGGGGAGCGAACAGG